rnacentral:lncRNA from 1 species
UUGGGAAGAAACCAACAGCUAUGCAGAUAAAGGGAACAGCACUUCCAGUGGAUGCCGAGGAGAUUAAACUCCCAGAAACCAAUUCUGUAAAGAAUGUUCAGACAGAGUGGACUUGUGUGGUAUGUCAAGUGAUAACCACCUCAGAGCAUGACUUGAAGUGCCAUCUUCUAGGAAGGAGACAUAGGGAAAGGCAUGCACUUCCAGUGGAUGCCGAGGAGAUUAAACUCCCAGAAACCAAUUCUGCAAAGAAUGUUCAGACAGAGUGGACUUGUGUGGUAUGUCAAGUGAUUACCACGUCAGAGCAUGACUUGAAGUGCCAUCUUCUAGGAAGGAGACAUAGGGAAAGGUGUGAAGAGCUGAAAACUUGCAAGCAAAUGGCCAGAACUGAAAGAAACCCACCUUUUGCUUCAAAUAUGCCAGACAAGCUUAAGCAGGAACAAGUAA